CUGGUUUCCAAACACCUCGACUUACUUCGGCGGAGAAGUAGCUUACAAUUGUUGCCAAAGAUGCAGGAAGAAAAUCAGCCAAGUCUUUAAGCCCUGAGUUAUUAAAUAACACAGGUCAGACAAAUAGCUGCCAUUUGGGAAAAUAUGUGACAAUCUGUUCGAUAUAUGUAAAGAAAGUUUCAUCAUC